AAAUAAGAAACAAUAAAUUGUAUUUAGUUUCGACCUAACCCUUGGUGAAAACACCCUUAUUUU
rnacentral:tRNA from 1 species